AUUGAACGCUGGCGGCAUGCCUUACACAUGCAAGUCGAGCGGGGUUUUCGGACCUAGCGGCGGACGGGUGAGUAAUGCGUAGGAAGCUACCCGAUAGAGGGGGAUACCAGUUGGAAACGACGGUUAAGACCGCAUAAUGUCUACGGACCAAAGUGUGGGACCUUCGGGCCACAUGCUAGCGGAUGCGCCUACGUGGGAUUAGCUAUUUGGUGAGGUAAUGGCUCACCAAGGCGACGAUACCUAGCUGGUUUGAGAGGAUGAUCGGCCAAUCUGGAAGUGAGACACGGUACAGACUCAUACGGGAGGCAGCAGUGGGGAAUAUUGGACAAUGGGAGGAAGCCUGAUCCAGCCAUGCCGCGUGUGUGAAGAAGGCCUUCGGGUUGUAAAGCACUUUCAGUAGGGAGGAAGCGUUGUGUGUUAAUAGUACACGGCGUUGACGUUACCUACAGAAGAAGCACCGGCUAACUCUGUGCCAGCCGCCGCCGUAAAAC
rnacentral:rRNA from 1 species